rnacentral:rRNA from 1 species
GGGAGUUUGAUCCUGGCUCAGAGCGAACGCUGGCGGAAUGCCUAACACAUGCAAGUCGCACGCCCCGCGAGGGGAGUGGCGGACGGGUGAGUAACGCGUAGGAAUGUGUCCAGAGGUGGGGGACAACCCCGGGAAACUGGGGCUAAUACCGCAUAUGGCCUGAGGGCCAAAGCAGCGAUGCGCCUUUGGAGCAGCCUGCGUCCGAUUAGCUUGUUGGUGGGGUAAUGGCCCACCAAGGCCCCGAUCGGUAGCUGGUCUGAGAGGACGACCAGCCACACUGGGACUGAUACACCGCCCAGACCCCUACGGGAGGCCACAAUGGGGAAUAUUGCACACUGGGCGCAAGCCUGAUCACCCAAUUCCGUGUGGAUCACAAAGGCCCCUCUGAAUGCAAAACCCAUUAAGGGCGGACAAUGCUUACUUACCCAUAAUAAACCCCCGGACUUCCACCUCUCAUCAGACCUCCCACCUAAAUCACACUUCUUAUAACCUUCCCAAACGCCCCUUUCGCGACACCUCCUCGCUGCAUCCUCCCCCUGACACUCUUAAUCCCCCAAACACAAUUACGACGAUUCCCCCACAUUCACCAGCCCCCGACCAAAAUCCAGGAACUUCCAUAUUACACCGAAAACUGCCAAUCCCCCCGCCCACCCCAAACAUUUCACACCUCUGCUUAAUUUCUAUCACCAGCACUGCCCACCUCCCACGCUUCAGCCUUUACUGACCCCCACUCCCCACCCCAAAUAACCAAUGUUCUCACCGCCCUCUACCCCCAAAAGCCCCGUGUACCCCACCAACCCACUUCCCCUCCCCACAUAUACCCAAUAAUAACAUAUUCUCCCAUCGCCCGUGCGAAAACCACCGCACCUUACUACAUAUCUGUCCAAUUCUCCAACCCCCCAACACCCUCUUUUAUCCCCGCCCCUACUUAUUAAACCACUAACACUCUCCUUCUUCCCUCCCUUUCCACUCUUCAAAGCCCCCUUUCAGACAUACCCACUUCCGGGAACCGUAUAUAACCUGUUUACGAUUGAUUCUUCCCUACUUAUUAUCCUUUCCUCCCCCUCCCCAACGGUUCUCUAUCCCCCACAUGCCCACCUCCACACUCCCCAUAUCACCUCCGCUCCCGCGGCCCCCCCCCCACCCCCUAGGUAACGGCCCGCGGCUCACCUCCUCCCACACACCCC